rnacentral:lncRNA from 1 species
GCCUACCCCGGCCAGCCCCAUUUCCCCGCCUGCGGCCUAAGGAAAUCUCCCUGCUUCCGCUGGCCCCGCCUUACUCUGUUGCACCGCCCAGUCGCCCGGCUUUCCACUGAGGGACGCCCCCUGCUCUGGACUGCUUAGCCUACUCCAGCUGGCCCCACCUCACCUCAUCGGCCCCGCCUCCUCCGCUCGCCCACUCCGGGCGCCCACUCCUGAGGAGCUAUCCCAGAGUCCGCGCGGCCUCGCCUUCCCGGCCCGCUCACCACCCCGCCUCGUCCCACCUCGCCUCGCCCUCCCCGGGCUCUAGCCACUUGGUGCGGCAGGUGUCCUGCAGGCCGGCUCGAGAUUCCCGAGCUCGCCCUCGUGGUGUUCCAGGAACACGAGUCUCGCUCGGGCACCAGGCUGGAGUGCAGUGGCACGGUCUCGGCUUACUACAACCUCCGCCUUCCGGAUUCAAGUGAUUCUGCUGCCUCAGCCUCCCGAAUAGCUGGGAUUACAGUGUUUCAGAAUCACCUGGGAUGAUCUGCAUGAAGAUUCCUGGCCUCCACCAAAGACUUACUGAAUCAGAAAGGAGGCAAGAGGAUGAGGAAUGCUUAAGAAUCUGCAUUAACAAACUUUACAAAUGAAUCUUACAACAUACAGAAGCAUGGAAACUACUGCCUCAAGGGAUUAUCUCAACUUGAGUUUAAACAUAGGAAUUGCUGACUACCUUUAAAAUGUAAAAAUAGUAUCUUUAUGGGAGGGAUGUUGUUUGGGGGCAGCUACUAAAUAGUGAAAUCAUUCCUUUAAAAUACCCUCUCAAGUCUGCCCCAGUUAUCCAUUUUACUGGAUAGUCUUGGUAUCCAGAUGAUUUAGGGAAAAAAAUAGUAGUAGCAAACUCUGAAAACACUCAGUAAAGUUCAUUCUUGGUCUUCUCUUCCUAAAUUUGUUUUCAAUUGUUAGAUUUAAACACUAAACAAGACCAAAAGAGAACUUUAUUUUACAUGUCUUUAUUUUACAUUUAGAACCGUUUUAUGAUUUACUUAAAAAAAAAAUCUUUUAC